rnacentral:tRNA from 1 species
GGCGUAGCUCAAUGGUAGAGCAGCUGAUUUGUAAUCAGCAGGUUGAAGGUUCGAGUCCCUUCGCC